UGAGGAAUAUUGGUCAAUGGACGAGAGUCUGAACCAGCCAAAUCGCGUGAAGGAAGACUGCCCUACGGGUUGUAAACUUCUUUUGUACAGGAAUAAAAGACAUUACGUGUAAUGUAUUGCAUGUACUGUACGAAUAAGCAUCGGCUAACUCCGUGCCAGCAGCCGCGGUAAUACGGAGGAUGCGAGCGUUAUCCGGAUUUAUUGGGUUUAAAGGGUGCGCAGGCGGGAUUUUAAGUCAGCGGUGAAAUUUUCAGGCUCAACCUGAACACUGCCGUUGAAACUGGGAUUCUUGAGGAUGGAUGAAGUAGGCGGAAUUCGUUGUGUAGCGGUUACAUGCUUAGAUAUAACGAGGAACUCCGAUUGCGUAGGCAGCUUACUAAGCCAUAACUGACGCUCAAGCACGAAAGCGUGGGGAUCAAACA
rnacentral:rRNA from 1 species